CCCUUAGAUGUUCUGGGCCGCACGCGCGCUACACUGAUGCAUUCAACGAGCCUAUCCUUGACCGACAGGUCCGGGUAAUCUUUGAAUCUGCAUCGUUACGGGGAUAGAUUAUUGCAAUUAUUAAUCUUCAACGAGGAAUGCCUAGUAGGCGCAAGUCAUCAGCUUGCGUCGAUUACGUCCCUGCCCUUUGUACACACCGCCCGUCGCUCCUACCGAUUGGGUGUGCUGGUGAAAUGUUCGGAUCGGCCGUUUGUCGCGGUUUCCGCGUCAUGUGGCUGAGAAGUUCAUUAAACCCUCCCACCUAGAGGAAGGAGAAGUCGUAACA
rnacentral:rRNA from 1 species